rnacentral:lncRNA from 1 species
CAAGGUGCCAGAUAUCAUAGAAGCCAGGAGAGUUCCAAACGUGGACAUCAUUUCCCAGACAGACACCACACUCUAAGCUCCUUAAGGGCAGUAACUGUGUCCUGUUCUUUGCUAUAUCCCUAGAGCCUAGCACAGUGCCUGAAACACAUUUGCCAUCGCAAAGCAACCUCAGAAAGGUCGGAAGUAGGCUGCCCUUCAGCCUGUUGCCCCGUCCCAGCAGCCCUGGGGUCCACAUAGUUCUGUGUGGGCCAUCUCCUUUCCCUUAGUUCUGUCUUAGGCAGGUGGCACACCAUGGGCCUUCUUGGGGUCCUGCUUCCUCUGACCUCCCUUCAAUUUCAGGAUGAGUUCUCUUUUGAAAGUGUUUUUAUAUUUUUAGUCUCAUGAUUCCUUCUUCAAAGAGGAACCUAGACUGUAUGAGGAAGUGAGACCAUCUUUCCCAGGGAGUAAAUUCACAGUACACAGAAAAGCUCUCUGUCACCAGUUUUUUUAGUGUGUGUGUGUGUGUGUGUGUGUGUGUGUGUGUGUGUGUGUGUGUGUUUUGGUCUCUAGAAAGAGUCUUCUAUCAGACCAUGGCUGAUAGGGUGGUAGGGGCUGGGAAACAGGCAGGAGCCGGCCCUAAUGCUCGUGGUGUUCCAUGAUUUUGGUAUACUUGUCUUUCAGUUCGGCCUGUGUUCUGCUUUCCUUGGACCUGAUUCUAACCACAGAAGUUUCCAGAAGAAAACCUAGGGCCGUGACGCAUAGAUGUUGCCAAUUUCACAAACUACUACUUCAGCUCAUAUUCUCGAAACACCUCCAGGACACAAGUAAUACAAAACUCCAGGGGUCAAAGGUGAAAAGCUGAUCUUCUUUCAAGAUUGGGGAAGGUCUCUACCUCCGAGACACUCUGCUUUAGAGAAGACGGGGACUCCAUUGCUUCACAAUGUGACUAUUUCAGGCAGUAUGACAAGCCAGUGGGGCCCUCUGGCAUUUGGGGUUCCCUCAAAUGACCUAGAGAUCUGGCUAGUUCCAAUUCAGAGGAUGGUUUAGAUGCAGGGCUGGGUUUUCUAGGACUCCUAAAGGGACCCACUUGGGGUCAGUACACGGCUUUGUGGGUCUGUGGGCACUCAAGACCCCAGAGCUCUGGCUCUUGUCUCACCACUGAUCCUGAGACAUUGUGACUGCGACUCCUAGGACUUCUUCGAGUAGAGGUUUAAUUCCACAGUUCUCAAAAAAAAAAAAAGGCAUUUCUUAGAAAUUCAAGUCCAUAUCGGGAAUGAUAACAGGAUGGCAGCCUCCCAAGGUUUGCAAGCUGUGCAGGAUUUAGCUGCAAAAAAAAUAAACAAAUAAAGGAAUCCA